rnacentral:sRNA from 1 species
AAGGUGCAGCGAACCAUCUUCAGUGAGUGUUUCUACACCAUGGCCAUGAACGAGCUGUGGAGGGCCACAGGGGAAGUGCGGUACCAGACGGAAGCGGUGGAGAUGAUGGAUCAGAUCGUCCACUGGGUGCAGGAGGACGCGUCGGGACUGGGCCGGCCCCAGCUCCAGGGGGCCCCGGCUGCGGAGCCCAUGGCGGUGCCCAUGAUGCUACUGAACCUGGUGGAGCAGCUCGGGGAGGCAGAUGAGGAGCUGGCGGGCAAAUACGCAGAGCUGGGGGACUGGUGCGCCCGGAGGAUUCUGCAGCACGUGCAGGCCCGGGCUGGACGUGGUGGCUUAUGCCUGUAAUCCCAGCAGUUUGGGAGGCUGAGGCGGGCGGAUCACUUGAGGUCAGGAGUUGGAGACCAGCCUGGCCAAUAUAGUGAAACCCCGUCUCUACUAAAAAUACAAAAAUUAGCUGGGCAUGGUGGUGCAUGCCUGUAAUCCCAGCCUCUAGGGAGGCUGAGGCAGGAGAAUCGCAUGAACCCGGGAGGUGGAGAUUGUAGUGAGUCGAGAUUGCGGCCACUGCACUUUAGCCUGGGUGACAGAGCAAGACUCUGUCUAAAACAACAA